GCGCGGGUGGCGAAAUUGGUAGACGCACCAGGUUUAGGUCCUGACGGUGGCAACACUGUGGGGGUUCGAGUCCCCCCGCGCACCA
rnacentral:tRNA from 3 species